rnacentral:rRNA from 1 species
GAUGAACGCUAGCUACAGGCUUAACACAUGCAAGUCGAGGGGAAACGACAUCGGAAGCUUGUCUUUUGAGUGGGCGUCGACCGGCGCACGGGUGAGUAACGCGUAUCCAACCUGCCCACCACGUUGGGGAUAACCUUGCGAAAGUAAGACUAAUACCCAAUGACGUCUCUAGAAGACAUCUGAAAGGGAUUAAAGAUUUAUCGGUGAUGGAUGGGGAUGCGUCUGAUUAGCUUGUUGGCGGGGUAACGGCCCACCAAGGCGACGAUCAGUAGGGGGUUCUGAGAGGAAGGUCCCCCACAUUGGAACUGAGACACGGUCCAAACUCCUACGGGAGGCAGCAGUGAGGAAUAUUGGUCAAUGGGCGAGAGCCUGAACCAGCCAAGUAGCGUGCAGGAUGACGGCCCUAUGGGUUGUAAACUGCUUUUAUAAGGGAAUAAAGUGAGUCUCGUGAGACUUUUUGCAUGUACCUUAUGAAUAAGGACCGGCUAAUUCCGUG